rnacentral:misc_RNA from 1 species
AAGUCGUAACAAGGUUUCCGUAGGUGAACCUGCGGAAGGAUCAUUAUCGUGUUUUUUUUCCUCUUCGCGGAGGAAAAACAAACGUAUUCACCCAAUCGUGAACUUGUUCCUGGAGAAAGGUUGGCCUUAACAGCUGACCAAUUUCCAAUUAAUAUUUACAUUUAACUUUAUUCACCACUUGUAUUCAAUGUGCUAAACUAAAAUCUUGGAUGAAGCUCUUUCGAGAGUUUUCUGAAAAGAAAGUACGAAAUUGCUGAACAACUCUUAGCAACGGAUAUCUUGGUUCUC